UCAUUUUCCCUUAUGCAACGCCGAUUUGUAAUCCCUUCCAAAAGAAAGGAUUACCUAAUCGGUCCUCUUUUACCCUCCCAAGCCGUUGCAGCAUCUUUUCUUUUUUUUCAUUUUUCUUCCCAUUUCCUUCCAACCUUCUCCCUCCUUUUCAUGCUUCUAUCCUGACCAACCCUUUAACAAACCCUAACAACCCUCAACAAGGCCUUCAAUUACAAAUCGUAUGAGGUAACAGAGUAACAGAGAGUAGCAGCAAUGGUUCCCAAGUACGCUUCUCCCUUCUUCUAUUCCUUUGAUUUCAAUUAAAUUUCUUUAUAUAUACCAUGAAUUUAAUGAUUUGUUCUUGAAAUAUUGUUUCUUUAUUUUUUUGGGGGGGGGGGAAAAAAUGGAUUUGCCUUUCAUUUCAUUCCAUUUCGGCCUGAAAUCUGAAAAUAUGAUUAAUUUUUUGGUUUUUUAGGUUAUAUUUACAUGUAAUUUCAAUGUUAACCAGUUUUGUGUUUAAAUUUCGUCUUUGAAAUUUUACACUUUCAAUCGAUCAACUGUACAUAGGAUUUGAUUAAUGAAGCUAAUAGUUGUGAAUUAACGAAAGGGAAAGGUUUUAAUGCCUGCUGUAAUUUGAUUGAUUGGAACACUAUAUGGUGUUUAAGGCAAUCAAUUAUUUUCAUUGUUAAAAUAUACCUCUGUUUGUCUGUUUUAGCUCGUUGGAUAGUAGCUCUAUAAAUAAUUAUUUUUGUUUUGUCGGCUAUGUUGCUGCUGGUGAAUGUUGGAUAUGGGUUCGAGUUUUCUCAUUUAAGUUUUACAUAAAUUUAGAGGUAAUGUUAAUUGGACUCGGGUGUUUUUGUAAGAUAUGUGUAUGUAUGCUUCAUAAGUGUGUUCUUUUAUGCAUUUGGGAAUCUUUGGAAUAUAUUAAUGUCAUAUCCAUGCCCAAGAAUCUGUUGAACAUUGCUUGAAAUACAAGUUUCUGAUACAGUUAUUUUUGGAAAAAUGAAGAGUACGAGAGCACCUUACAAGUUGGAAAUGGGAAAUUAACUUGCUUCUGCUUCAUACUAUGGUCUAUAAGAUGGAUAUUAUGUUUUUUUGCAAUCAAGAGCUAGUGUAAGGGGUAGUUGUUUGUUGUAGAAUUCUGUUUAUGUUAAUGGUGAUUGUUGUUCGAUCUUGUUAAUUAUGUAAUAAGCUCGUAACUCGUUCAAAGGCACAAAUGAGCAUGCUGUCAUAAAGUGUGACUUUAAGAGUGAGAAAGGGAUAACAUCUAACUUAUUAGAUGUACCUUAUUAGAUGUUGAGAAUGCGCUUGCGAAGUUCACAUGGGCUAAAGAAGUUCAUAAGAAGAUGGUUAAGCUGAAAGAGGAAGGCAAACCGAUGCCAAAGAACUUUGCUGAGGUAGGUUCACCACUGGUUUUUUUCAGUUAUGUUUUUGCUGAUCAUAUGUUGAAUGAUUAAAAUGUAUGAGCUAGUGUAUUUAUGCUUAUUGCUCAAUUUGUCUGAUCUUAAAUUCUCUAAGUU
rnacentral:lncRNA from 1 species